GUCGUUCAGCAAGACGAAUACCAUCAAUUAUUGAAGCAUGAUUCAGUGCAUCAGAAAAUAUGGCAAUCUUUUCUUUCUUUGGAGGUUUUUCAGCUGAAGCCAAAAGAGAGCUGAUGUUUCCAAGAGCUACCAUCACUGCCAUAUUAGCAGAAAACCCUGUCGGACAAAGAAGAUAGCAGAAAACCCAGUCGGACAAAGAAGACAAUCCUCUUUCUUCUUCAAGUUUGCCAAGCAAGACUCUAAUUCCCUAUGGUAACUGGUGUAUCCACAGAUUAAAGCAGAACCUCUUGGUCCCAUUCCAUGUUCUCGGGCUGCCUUUGCAGCAGCCUUGCCAAUUGUGGGAUGUGAACUCAACCCCAAGUAAUCAUUGCCAGAGAAUAAAAGUAGCUUCUUGGACUGCUCAACUUUAUGGUCAGUCACUCCAUUUCCACACACAAUCUCAUCUCCGGAACUGGGAAUUUCAAGGAGCCAUUUCUGAAAUGUGGACUCUGAAAUGGAGACUUCAACGGAGGACCGAUCCCAUGGCUGCAUUUCGUCGAACACCUCGUAAUUAACUCCAAGUGCAACCUUUCUCGAAGGGUUAGACUCUUUAGAGAGGUAAAUGGGCCUUAAAGAUCGAAGCAGUUUUAGCGACUCAAGCUUUGCAAGAGCCUCCUGUACCCAGUAGUCCCAUGAGCUCUUCUCCAUUUUUGCACUUGGAGACGCUGGGCACUCGGUAGUUUUUAUGUCCACCGGUACCGG
rnacentral:misc_RNA from 1 species